CAAUCGGCCAGCAUGCUGAGCAGAGCUGGGAGCAGGGUGGACCUGGCAGAGCACUCCCCAGCUGGGGUGAAGAGGGCUCGCCCAGCGUGGGCAUGGGCGGCUGCCUAGACACCCACGUGAGCACUGCCCAAGCUCUGGGGAAACGAAUGAAAGAAGGAAAAGGGGCCGAGAGAGGCGAGAAGAGAACAAUGCUGUUUCAGUCCCAGGUCCAAUCACACCUGCUGCCAGCCCCAUCUGUUCACAUCUCAUUCCCCAGAGCCCGUGGCUGUGUCCCCCACGGGGCAGAAGAGACUCUGCAGGAUGGAGGCAGGAGAGGCAGAGGGAGCAGUGGCCGCAGCAGCAGAGGUCGGGGUGACAAGCAAGGGACCAUGCCAGAGCCCAGGAGCACAGCAGACUCUGGAGCCCAAAGAAGUCAGCAACGAGUCUUCCCAGAACCCCCAGAG
rnacentral:lncRNA from 1 species